AUUGAACGCUGGCGGUAUGCUUAACACAUGCAAGUCGAACGGUAACAGGCCUAGCUUGCUAGGUGCUGACGAGUGGCGGACGGGUGAGUAACGCGUGGGAAUCUGCCUUAUUGUGGGGGAUAACCUGGGGAAACUCAGGCUAAUACCGCAUGAGCCCUAAGGGGGAAAGGAUGGGACCGAAAGGCCAUUCGCGAUAAGAUGAGCCUGCGUUGGAUUAGCUAGUUGGUGGGGUAAAGGCCUACCAAGGCGAGGAUCCAUAGCUGGUCUGAGAGGACGAUCAGCCACACUGGGACUGAGACACGGCCCAGACUCCUACGGGAGGCAGCAGUGGGGAAUAUUGGACAAUGGGGGCAACCCUGAUCCAGCAAUACCGCGUGUGUGAAGAAGGCCUGCGGGUUGUAAAGCACUUUCAGUGGGGAGGAAGAGCUCGGUGCUAAUAGUAUCGAGUUGAGACGUUACCCACAGAAGAAGCACCGGCUAACUCUGUGCCAG
rnacentral:rRNA from 1 species